GGGCAUGGCAGGCCUCUAACACUUUUUACUGCAUGGGUCGUUCUUCUGUCAACCUCCCCCUCCCCACGUUCUACCAGAUUCAGAGGGUUGUUCCUCUGGAGUGUUUUCCCAAGGCCACGGGAAACUGGGAGAAGGAGUUGUGUUUUUUUUUAAGGACAGAGAUUUGUGUUUUGUUUUGUUUUUGUGCCAUUGUUCUUGGGGAUUUUUUAAGCACAUGCUAAACGCAUAGGAUUAAUUCAGGAUUUUUACUUCUGUAGAGCACUGGAACUCCUGGCCAGGAAUAGCUUCUAAGGCACACAGCUCACGGCCCUUUCUCGGAUUAAGGUAGGUGACACAGUGGUGGUGGGGAGGGGAGCAUUGUUUGGGUGAACUGGAUCCAACUUUGAAAGAAAAUAAAAAGCUGGUGCAUCCAGGGAAGAACAUGAAAAGGUAUCAUUGGUUUUCGCACUGUUUAUAUAGGUUCUUUACAAGCUUCUAUCUCCCCCUCGCAUAAUUCCCUUGUGGUUUAACUGGAAUUGUUGUUGUUUAGUCGUUUAGUCAUGUCCGACUCUUCAUGACUCCCUGGACCAGAGCACGCCAGGCACUUCUGUCUUCCACUGCCUCCCACAGUUUGGUCAAACUCAUGCUGGUAGCUUCGAGAACACUAUCCAACCAUCUCGUCCUCUGUUGUUCCCCUUCUCCUUGUGCCCUCAAUCUUUCCCAACAUCAGGGUCUUUUCCAGGGAGUCUUCUCUUCUCAUGAGGUGACCAAAGUAUUGGAGCCUCAGCUUCAGGACCUGUCCUUCCAGUGAGCACUCAGGGCUGAUUUCCUUCAGAAUGCAUAGGUUUGAUCUUCUUGCAGUCCAUGGGACUCUCAAGAGUCUCCUCCAGCACCAUAAUUCAAAAGCAUCCAUUCUUCGGCAAUCAGCCUUCUUUAUGGUCCAGCUCUCACUUCCAUACAUCACUACUGGGAAAACCAUAGCUUUUACUAUACGGACCUUUGUUGGCAAGGUGAUGUCUCUACUUUUAAUUGAAAUUACAAAGAGGAUAAGGAUAGUCUGGUUGGGUCUGACCAGACCCUUCUUUCUACUGUGGCCUUGGGAAGCCAGCAAGGAGUGGGUGGUGGUGAAUAUCCCUCUCCUGCUAUUGCCCAUUUGGAAAGCAGCAUUCGGGAUAUACUGAUUCUAAAUAUGGAGGGUCCAUUUAACUCUCGUAGCUUGUGGCCAACUCUCUUCCCCCUCUGUGUUUUCCCCCAGAAUCAAUCUUUGCCAACUGGUGGAGGCUGAUGGGAAUUGUAGCCCAAAGCACCGGGAGGAUGCCAAGUUGGCAAAGACUGCCCCAAAUUCCCUCUAAGCUAGUGGCCAUCUCUACCUUGAAUUUCAAUGACUGUACAGGUGAAGAAGUCCUUUCUUUGUCUGGCUUGAAUCACCCACCCUUUAUUCCACUUUUGACAGAUCCUAAGUUCUUGCAGAUUUGAGAGACAGAGGGGAAAAGUCCUUGUAGCAUAGCCAUUUUCUCCACAUCCACCGAGAAGCUCUCUCAGUGCUGUCCUGUCCCUCAUUGCUGAAGCAGAGCAUCUGCUUUACCUGCAGAAGGUCACAGCAUCAGUCUCCAACAUCUCCAGCUAUGGAUGGGAGAAAACCCUGCCUGAAACCCUGGAGAGCUGCUGCCAGUCAGUGUAGACAAUACCAAGGGUCUGAGGCAGCAUGAGGCAGCUUCCUGUGGUGCUAUGAUGCCCGCCACUCCAAGUAAAAUAAAAAGUUAUUCAAACGCCUUCAAACUUUCCUUCUGGAGGAGGUUUCCCAACCACCUGAUCAUGUUUGGGUUGCAUUGCUAGGUACAUAAAGGAUGUGGGACCCUGGCCUAUGACACAGAUUUUCACUAGAUUUUCAAAUGCUAAUUUACAAAUAUAGAUUCUCUUAAGAUGAUGGGCAGCUGAAGUCUCACCUCAUCAUUUUGCCCUGGUGCCCUUUUAUGCAAAGUAUUUUUUUAAGCUUUCUUAAAAGGGGAGGGCAACGAGGCAAGAUAUCCUGGCCUUGGAGUGACAAAUCUUUGCCUCCCUGCCCCUCAAAGAAAACACUUCUGUUUGUGCUGUAACAUUUAACCGUCUUUGUUCCAUGACUCUCUUACUGGAGACUCUCUAGUCUUCCAGACUCCUUGUGUUUGUCAACAACCCCGCCCUCUCCAGCAGCAAAUGAAAUGCAAUCCUGAAUUGGGGAUGGCUUCGCUUGAAUCAUGGAAUAACAGCGGAAAGGGUUGGGAUGGAAAAUGUAGGGGUGAUGGGGAGAUUUGAUCCCUGAUGCCCUUUUUGCAGUGGUUUGUAGAAUUUCUGUAAAAUGUAAGAUGAAUCCAUUCCUGACUACCAUGACACCAUGCAUGGAAAAUUCAGAAGUGCAGGGUAGUCACAGCCACACAACACACCCUUCUAAGAUUAAGCAACCCUUUAAUAUUAUGCAAUAAUAUUAUAAUUAGGAAUGCAUUGCAGUCACCAGUACAGAUGUCCACAUGUUGCUAUUAUUUUCUCUGCAGUAGAACGGACGGUUUGGAAGUGCUCUGAUAUAUUCUUUCAGAGUGGUGUAAGUCAUGUUUUUCUUGAGGUCCUAUUGUACGCAGCAGAACUUGCAGCCACUGUCCUGAAACUGAAGCACCUGGUGUUUUCACUGUUCCUGUGUGCUUUGGAGCACACAGAACAAUCUGUGCUCUGUGUUCUUCCUGGGCUCCUUCUCCAGAGUGACCCUAGGAGCCAAUAAGAGGCUAAAUCACCUCCUUGAUGAUGAUGAUGAUUUAUUAAAUAUGCAUACCAUCCUUCAUCUGAAGAUCACAGGGCAGUUAACAACAUAGAAAUACAAAACGAGAACACAAACUACAU